rnacentral:lncRNA from 1 species
AUUAACUCUAAAAACUGUUCAUAGCAGUUUACGUUUUUCUCCAGUGUUUCAUCACAUUUACCAGUGAGUGAAGUUUGAAAUUAUCAUCUUGGAUGAUAGCAGUGAUAUUCAACCAUUUUGAAGAGCUUGCAACCAACAUGACGUCACAAAUUAGCGGACAUAUUCACACUCAUUUACAUAUCAAACAAAUUGAAAUAUCUUGGGAACAAACCAUAAAAACAAGAAACUGAAAAAUAAGUUACACUACAACUUAAAAAG